rfam:Leptospirillum ferrodiazotrophum TBAL3_9367_2, whole genome shotgun sequence.
CCGAGCCGGAUGAGGCGAAAGUCUCAAGUCCGGUUCCGAGGGGGGUUGGGCUCAGUGGUGGGCCCCGCCUAACCGAC